CCUUUUCCAGCGCGGCGGAGGGCGCCCCCUAGAACGCAGAGGGGGGGCAGAGGGAAGUGAGAUGGGGACUACGGGGUCUCCAGUGGUUCAAACCCUGUCGUUCCUCCGCGUUACAGAGCUACAGCGGUCUCCGGGUGGCGAAGUGCGGAGACGGGGUUUUGGAGACGGUGGAUGGAGGAGGGGGAGGGAAAGCUGCCAACUUUGGAUACCAACCCCGUACACCCACCGAAGGGGAUGUCCCACUUUUUCCAGCGCUGGGAGCAAAAAGAUAACAGUGAGCGAGGUUGAAAAAUUAUAAAGUAUCCCAGGACAGUGCUCUGUAACCAGCCCAUAGUAGCUACUGCUAUUUUACCAGCUACUGUAUCUUUCCUUCUUUGAUUUCCAGCACCUGACAGUGAAAAGAGCAAUUUGAAGAAAAACAAAAUUUAUCUUCAAUGUGAAAAGCAAUUUAUAAAAAUCCGAAUACUUGCCAGGAGCAACUUGACAAAAAAGACAAAGGUGGUAGAAGAAAUGUAACCAGCCCACAAUUCCAAUGUUGAUAACAGAUGAGCUCCCUUUCAAGGUGACUGACAUUUACACAAGUACACAGAGCAAGAAGAAGGUCUGAGUGAACUGCCAAGCAUUUUAACUUCUCCUGAGACCAAGUACAUCAACAGUUCUCUUGGAAAAGAACAACUGAUUUGGGAGUCUAGCAGACUGCCAGCUGCAAGACAUUCAUCCAGCAUCAGGAACACAAUGGGCCUUCAUUUGCCUGCCUUUCUGAGGGCACCAAUCAAAAGUAACAGCUGCCACCUUUUUCUAUGAGACUUGAUUAUAAUUUUCUAUGGCCAAGGGUUUGCUGUGACACUUCCACAUCAUUCUUCAGUAUGUAGUCCAGAGAUUAGCUACAGAUUCAAGAAACACAGACUGUAAACUAUUAUAUACAGACAUAUCUCAAAAUAAGCAUACCCAUUAGUGCCAGCUGCCCUGAAAGACUGAAUGACCCCAGCUAUUUUCCAAAUGUUUUUUCAGAAAGCCAUGAACACACCUUUCUGGGAUCCUAUCUAUUUCAAAGACAGGCAAAGCUCUGUGGUUCAGUUCCACCACCCAGUACCAAGCCCACAGUAUGCAGACCAUACGCCUUACACAUGGCCUUUUCUCUUUAUGUAAUUGCUGUACCAUAUUCAGCAGAUCUAGACUGACUCAAAGCAUGUUCCCUCAAGAAGCUCCACAGAAAAAAAGGUUUCUGUGAUCAAAAAUCAUUUGGGAAAUGCUGCAAACCCUAUCUGCCUCUUAGAGCUUAACCAUGCAUGUCGGGGCAUAAUAUAAACCUUUUCCAGUCUGGGCCACAGAGUGAGACCCCACCUCUAAAAUAAUAAAUCAAUAAACUCUUGAGAAGUACACAGAAAAGAAACUUCUGUAACUUUUUAGGUCUUAAUUACAAGCAAUUGUAGCUUAA
rnacentral:lncRNA from 1 species